GUCUACGGCCAUGCCAUCCUAAACAAGUCUGAUCUUGGAAGCUAAGCAGGAUUGGGCCUGGUUAGUACUAGGAAGACCAGGUGCUGUAGGCA
rnacentral:rRNA from 1 species